UCAAGAAACUUCCACAAUGGGCGAAAGCCUGAUGGAGCGACGUCGCGUGAUGGACGAAGUGCUUCGGCACGUAAACAUCUUUUAUGUGGGAUGAAAUUAUUGACAGUACCACAUGAAUAAGGGGCUCCUAACUCUGUGCCAGCAGGAGCGGUAAUACAGAGGCCCCAAGCGUUAUCCGGAAUCACUGGGCGUAAAGGGUGUCGAGGCGGUUGUAUUAGUCGUUCCUAAAAUCUACGAGCUUAACUUGUAGGCGGCGAACGAAACGGUACGACUUGAGGUUUGGAGAGGUGCGUGGAACUCACGGUGUAGGGGUGAAAUCCGUUGAUAUCGUGGGGAACACCAAAGGCGAAGGCAGCGCACUGGCCAAAAUCUGACGCUCACACACGAAAGCUAGGGUAGCGAAGAGGAUUAGAUACCCACGUAGUCCCUGAGCGGGCUGGCAAGGCGCAU
rnacentral:rRNA from 1 species